rnacentral:rRNA from 1 species
GAUGAACGCUGGCGGCGUGCCUAAUACAUGCAAGUCGAGCGAACGGACGAUAAGAUUGUUCUUCUGAGGUUAGCGGCGGACGGGUGAGUAACACGUGGAUAACCUACUUAUAAUACUGGGAUAAUUUCGGGAAACCGGAGAUAAUACCGGAUCAUAUUUUGAACCGCAUGGUUCAAAAGUGAUAGACGGUCUUGCUGUUACUUAUAGAUGGUUCCGCGCUGCAUUAGUUAGUUGGUAAGGUAACGGCUUACCAAGGAUACGAUGCGUAGCUGACCUGAGAGGGUGAUCAGCCACACUGGAACUGAGACACGGUCCAGACUCCUACGGGAGGCAGCAGUAGGGAAUCUUCGGCAAUGGGCGAAAGCCUGACGGAGCCACGCCGCGUGAGUGAUGAAGGUCUUCGGAUCGUAAAACUCUGUUAUUAGGGAAGAACAUAUGUGUAAGUAACUGUGGACGUCUUGACGGUACCUAAUCAGAAAGCCACGGCUAACUACGUG